ACGAACGCUAGCGGCGUGCCUAAGGUAUGCAAGUCGAGCGGACCGGAGCAAUCCGGUUAGCGGCAAACGGUUGAGUAACACGUAGACAACCUGCCCGGAAGACGGGGAUAACUCGGGGAAACUCGGGCUAAUACCGGAUGUGGAAUCGCGGGGCAUCCCGCGUUCUCUAAAUGGAGCAAUCCGCUUCCGGAUGGGUCUGCGGCCUAUCAGCUUGUUGGUGGGGUAACGGCCCACCAAGGCGACGACGGGUAGCUGGUCUGAGAGGAUGACCAGCCAGACGGGGACUGAGACACGGCCCCGACUCCUUCGGGAGGCAGCAAUGAGGAAUAUUGCACAAUGGGCGAAAGCCUGAUGCAGCGACGCCGCGUGGGUGAUGAAGUUCUUCGGAAUGUAAAGCCCUUUUGCAGGGGACGAAAAAAAUGACGGUACCCUGCGAAUAAGCCCCGGCUAACUACGU
rnacentral:rRNA from 1 species